GACGAACCGUGCGAACGUUAUUCGGAAUCACUGGGCUUAAAGCGUGUGUAGGCGGGUGCCUAAGUACCUUGUGAAAUCCCACGGCUCAACCGUGGAACUGCUUGGUAUACUGGGUAUCUUGAGCCACUUAGGGGCGAACCGGAACAAACGGUGGAGCGGUGAAAUGCGUAGAUAUCGUUUGGAACGCCAAUGGUGAAAACAGGUUGCUGGGAGUGUGCUGACGCUGAGACACGAAAGCCAGGGGAGCAAACGGG
rnacentral:rRNA from 1 species